UUGUAUAAUGGGUCAGCGACUUAUAUUCUGUAGCAAGGUUAACCGAAUAGGGGAGCCGGAGGGAAACCGAGUCUUAAUUGGGCGUUAAGUUGCAGGGUAUAGACCCGAAACCCGGUGAUCUAGCCAUGGGCAGGUUGAAGGUUGGGUAACACUAACUGGAGGACCGAACCGACUAAUGUUGAAAAAUUAGCGGAUGACCUGUGGCUGGGGGUGAAAGGCCAAUCAAACCGGGAGAUAGCUGGUUCUCCCCGAAAGCUAUUUAGGUAGCGCCUCGUGAAUUCAUCUCCGGGGGUAGAGCACUGUUUCGGCUAGGGGGCCAUCCCGGCUUACCAACCCGAUGCAAACUGCGAAUACCGGAGAAUGUUAUCACGGGAGACACACGGCGGGUGCUAACGUCCGUCGUGAAGAGGGAAACAACCCAGACCGCCAGCUAAGGUCCCAAAGUCAUGGUUAAGUGGGAAACGAUGUGGGAAGGCCCAGACAGCCAGGAUGUUGGCUUAGAAGCAGCCAUCAUUUAAAGAAAGCGUAAUAGCUCACUGGUCGAGUCGGCCUGCGCGGAAGAUGUAACGGGGCUAAACCAUGCACCGAAGCUGCGGCAGCGA
rnacentral:rRNA from 1 species